UGCUCUGUCUCUCUCUUUGUCAAAAAUAAACAUUAAAAAAAUUUUUUUUUUUUUUAAUUUGGUGACUAGUACUAAGUUUCACUUAAAUGGUAGGCUGGAACCCAAAUCUUUCUUAUUCCAGAACUCAUGUUUUGUCCUCUACCUGAAACUUCCUCUAUUGUCACUUUGUACUAGUAUUCAUUCAUUCAUUCAUUCAUUCAUUCAUUCAUCCAACAAGAACUUAUUGGACCUCAUGUAUGCAGGAAUCAUACGGGUCUAGCCCGGAGAUAUAUCAGUCAGUAUUUGUUGACUGCCCGAUUACCAGUCCCUAAAAAGUGCUCUAGCAAGAAACAUUGGUUCUGAAAGAAUGAGACAUAGGAUAGCCCCCCUUUUGAUGGGGAAUAGAAGGUAAAGUCAAGAGAAGGACAGGGCAGUUGGAAUGGAAUGUUUGGUAGAUGGCUGUUGAAGUCUCCUCUUUGCUCUGUGCGUUCUCACGAGCGCAAGGGAGGAAAGGAGGAAAGUCCUAGAGAUGUUGGGCUUCUGAAAGAAAGAUGAGAGGUCUUCAAGACAACAUAGCGCAGUGAGUAGGAGUGCCGACUUGGGCAUCUCACAGUCCCGAAUUCAAAUCCUACGUCUGUGGUCUUGUCAAAUCGCUGAAGUGCUCAGAGCUCUGGUUUUCUCAUUGGAAAAUAGGAACAACAAUUCCUAACCUCAAAGCGUAUCAUGUGAGUUAAAUAUAUUUACUUACAACCCAUCAGACUCUUGGUACAGCAUUUGGAACAUAGCAAAUGCUCAGUGAGAGCUAUUCAUCAUAUUUGAUUAUCAUUUUGCCUGAUCCUCGAUAGUCUUGAGAAUUUUCAAAUAUUUAUGAGUAAUGUGCCAUACAAAGCUUUAGAAAUUUCCUCAAUGAAUCAAGAGUUCUUGCCUAAGGGGAGACUAUUUAAAAUGCAGCCUGACUUUCUAGAGGGAGAAAAAAAAAAAGACCUGAGCUUUCAUAUUUCCUUUUCCAUUCAGUGGUGGGAAAGGUUUUUCUUAGCUUGUUUGUCCUGAAACCAUGGAUACCGCAUAAAAAUAAAAGAACGUGACUGCCCUGGGAUUUGAGAUGCAUGUGGUAGUCAGAAAGCAUAAAUAAAUAUAUCUGAUAUGUUUCCAAUAUCUUUUCUUCUAAGGUAAAUGUGGAACCCAUCUCUCCUCAAGCCUUUUGCGGGGUCAUGGCACGCCCUCUGGUGGCCCAUCUCUUUCAAUGGCUUUGCCUGCCCCGAUGAGCAAUCUUUCAGAAGCCGUCUCCUGGACUUUCUGUGGCCGGAGGACCAUCUUCCCCAAGGGCAAAGCAGGCUGGGUUCGCUGCAGAGUUAACUUCCGAUUUCCCAGGAUUUUGUGAGCAUUCUGAUUGUGACCUCUUUACUAAACCCAGAAAUUUGUUUUUGACGUCUGCUGUGGGAAAAAAUCUUGAGACGUUAUUUCCCUCCACUGAUGCCACCAGUAAUUAGAUCCAAGAAUGCAUUUGGUCCAGGUUUUGAUAAUUCAGUGGAGCUAACAAACUGUAACGACUCAGAUAGGACCUUGCCCGCUGACCUCCCUCCUAGUCACUUCCAUGCACGCCCAAGCACCUGCCCACGGGCUCUGGCUCCAGGACUCCAUAGCUUAUCCUUUCCCGAAGCCUUCAUCCCAUAGAGCGGGCAUUUGGGAAUCGACGGCUGACCAUUAUGGUGCCACAAGAUGGAAAGACCCAGGGUCCCCGAAUGACCGCGUGAAGCCAAUUCUGCCACCAAACUGUGUUGAACAGAGACAUGAACGAGCAACGAACCUUUACUGCAUUAAUCCACAUUGGUUGUAUCUUAAAGCAGUUGGCAUAGCCUGCUUAAUAGAUUUCCUUUUUCUAUCCCUCAUCCCAGCAAAACGUUCUAGGUGGCCGGGACAGCUUGUGGACCGUGUGCUUAAAGAGAUGUCAGGGUAAGCGUUCCAUUUUGCUAGCCAAGCAUUCAAACGUCACCAAGAGACGAGGCUAGCCGGUGAGGUUCUGCCGAAAUGCUUCCAAGUCAGGGAAGCCCCUGCAUUUUUUGAGAAAUAAAAGGAAAAAUGAAGGUUGUCCUCCUGGUGCGUUCACACCGUGAGGUGUCACAGAGACCUUGAGACGUCUUAAUGUGGGCUUUGCCGGGUGACGAAAGUGAACACCCCCUUCUCUUCCACAAGUAUUUAUUGUGUGGUUAGCAUCAUGCCCCCCAUCUCGCCUCAGAAAGCAAGUCUGAGAAAUUCAAGAGUUGGCCCCAGACGCUGCCCCUCCACGCAGGGGGGACCUCAGAUGGCUCAUGACAAGUGAACUGCAGGAAUGUGUCAGCUACGCCAAUGUGAUGUCUCGGGUGGACGUCUACUGCCUGUAUUCAGGGAGCUUAAGUGUCUCUUGUAUCCAUUCCCUUCCCUUCCCGGGAGACUCCAUUAUUUCUUGGUACUCUUUCCAGACCUGUCACCCUUUCAUGGUGACCCAUUUGGUAUCACAUAGGUUCGCUAUUGAUGAGAACUGUUUUCAGUGUUGCAAGGAGGUCAAAAACAAACAGCAUUUCCCGGGUUAGAACAAAGAAGGCUUUGGCUUGAAUGAACUUUUGCUUAGUCACGAAGAACCCAGGGCCCGGCUCUGCUCUGGGGAUAAGAUGGCAGCCUAGGUUUCACUCCUGGUUCCACAGUUGGAUUUUGUGACUUUUACAACACACUGUUUCUCGGGGCGGAAGAGUCGCGAUGCAGUUUGAGGAGUUUUGAGUGACACGACUGAUGUAUUUCAGCCUCUUUUCCCUACUUCAAGCUCCCCCCCCCUUUUUUUAAAGUUUAUUCAUUUAUUUUGAGAGAGACAGAGAGAAAGAGUGCAAGUGGGAGAGGAGCAGAGACAGAGGGGGACAGAGGAUCGGAAGCGGGCUCUGUGCUGAGAGCAGACGGCCUGAUGAGGGGCUCGAACUCACAAGCCCGAGAUCCUGACCUGAGUCAAAGGCAGGUGCUUAACCGACUGAACCACCCUGGUGCCCCCCCCCCCCCAGCUUCAAGCUUUUAAACCUCUCUUUUUAAGCCUCUUCAACCCAAAGAAGGUUUCUUACUCUCUUAUGCAGACCUUGACCUUCGGCUUCCUGAGAAGCCACGCUCAGACCUGAUGUACCAAAUGUGUGUAUACAUUUUGUGUGCCUUUACUUUCUGAACUGUUGCAUGGUUUUCCAUGCUGCCGUCCCCUCUCUGUUCUUUUCCUUCGUUCUCCCCUCCGUUCUGACACUGUCUCGUUUUUCUUGUUCACUCUUCCAACCAAACCCCGUUAAGUCUAUGCUGGUUUGUUUUUUGUGUUUUGUUUUGUUUUUUUUUUUGUAACUUCUGGGCAAAGUGAAAACUCACCUAGAAAAGCUACCCACGUGAGUCUGGUGGUAACAGGAAAAAGACGCCACGGAGACAAGGAGUAAGUGAACACAGAAAACAGAUCGUACGGGCCGGUGGAAAUUCGGCUGGAGGUUUUCACGGCCUGUGCCUGUUUUUAGACGCGAAGGCAACGAAACAUCAAAUUUUUUCUUCAUCUUAGGGUUUCCCCCCACCCCAGCAUGAACCUUUAAUUGGCAGCCGUUUUCUUUGGGGAGUUAUUCAUGUACAUAUGUUUUUUGCGCGAUGCCCAUCUCAACGCGUAUCAUUUAGUAAGUGAAAUAGGGUGUGCAGCUGCUACAGGGGCAUGUUUUCUACCUAAAAAAAAAAGUUAGGAAAAAAGUAGUGAGGUAGUGGGAGUUGGCCGAGGUACACGUGUACUUCCUGCGAAGGGUUCCGCGUCCUUGACUCUUCACCCAGCUCAAGCCUUGGCACCGAAUGUGCUACAGAAGGUGUCUAAUGACCGGAGACCGUUAGGUUUCCAAGUGACCUUUCUGAGCCUCCUGUCUCACACUCUCGGGAUACAGACCAGGAAUCUCAACCCAAGAGAGGAUGCAGACUUCACUGGUAUGGGGACAGAGCUGCGAGGAGAAAACAGCCACUGGGGCUCCUCGCUCGGUGUUCUUCUCAAGCCUGAGAGGAAGGAGGGACAGAAGGCGGAUGGGAUUGAGGAAGCAACGAAGCAACAGGAAAAGAGAGCCCAAGCUCCGGGAAAGGGAAGAUGGUCCAGGAGAGAAAGAAAGGGACUUGGGGCUGAGGUGCCCAAGCCUUUGCUAACCUGAAAAGUAAACUCAAAGUUAGAGAUCAGAGGGUCCCCAGGGGGGAACCGGUCCUCUGAAAUGAGCAUCUCACAUUGUACAGGGGAGUCGGCGAAGCAUUUGGUUUGUCUGCUUAGAAAGGAAGUUUCUAGAAAGAGAAGGCAUUGUGAUGUUAAGAUGACCCUUCAGAAGCUGUGAAGGCUGUAGUCUCUACUCUCCUACCGUUUGAUGCCCCUGGAGGCUAGGCAUGCCUUCCAUGUGGAUGCUUGAGCGGUUUUUUUCUAGUUGGAGAAUUAAUGGCAGACCAAGUUGCUAGAUCUACCCACGGCCGAUCAAUGCUUCGCAGAUUCCCUCUGGCCAUCCUUUCUGGAUCUCCCUUAGAUAUCACUAAUGAAAAAGUCAAAUACGCGUUGAGCAACCUAGAAGAACCCACACUUCCUCAUUUCAUAGAGAGGUCCAGAACGGAAUUGUAACUAGCCCUCAAUCCCCCAUAGCUUAGAAGAAUGUAUCCAAUGUGGUACCACAAUCACCCUAAAACAUAGCGGGCAGGAUAGUCUCACCAAAAUGGCUGCGACCAGGCCGCUUUAUCCCUGUACGUGCACGCUGCCCUGCAAAAUGUAGGGUGUAUUUCCCCUCCCCUUGAACCCAGUUGCUCCUGUGACUGCUGUAACCAAUAGAAUGAAGCAGAAGUAGCAUUCUAGAACUUCCACGCUCAGUACCAAAGUUCCAGUUCCCCCCUCCUGGACGCCAGCUGCCGUGUAAGGAGUCUGACCCCCUUGCUGAAAAGACCACAUGCUUUGGAAGCCACAUGGAAAGAGACAUGGGGCACAGAUGUGUGAGUGAAGCCUUCUCAGACCUUCCAGCAGCUGGCUGGUUGCAGCCAGGUGAGUGACACUAGCCGGUGCCCAGCUGACUCAGAUUCAUGAGAAAUAGUAAAUGGAGGUUGCUUUUGGGUUUUGGUUUUGGGGUGGCUUGUCAUGCAGUGAUGGAGGACUGAAGCGACCGCUUAAAAGCGGCACCAUGCAUUAUUUUUCACGGACCUGGGAGUCGGGGGCGGAGGGGUGGUUCUGCAGAUCUAGACCGAGCCUGGCCAACCUCAUCUGGACCUGCCUGGGCCUCUGCAGCCUGUGGAGGGCUCGCCAGUCAAGGAUGGCCUCAGCCGUGAUGACUCAUCUCUGUAGCACAGGGUCUUUUAUCCUUUAAUGGAGUUGUCCCGCGGCGGUGGCAGAGUGCCAAGAACAAGAGCAAAAAUGCACAAAUUUUUUAACAAAUAAACUUUUCAGGGGGUGCCUGGGUGGCUCCGUUGGUUGAGCAUCAGACUUCGGCUCAGGUCACGAUCUCACGGUUUGUGGGUUGGAGCCCGGCGUGGGGCUCUGUGCUGAUGGCUCAGAGCCUGGAGCCUGCUUGGGAUUCCGUGUCUCCCUGUGUCUCUUGCCCCUCCCUCGCUCGUACUCUGUCCCUCUCAAAAAUAAACAUUAAAAAAAUUGUUUUAAAUAACAAACUUUUCAAGAACAGUUUUAGAUUCACAAAACAACUGAGGGGAAGGUGCAGACAUUUCCCGUAUCUUCCCUGCCUGUCCCCCACAUGCUGAGCCGCCCCCCUGUAUUAACACCCCCCCACCAAGAGUGGUACCUUUGCUAUGGUUGGUGGACCUACGUUGACACAUCAUUAUCAGCCAAAGGUCACAGUUAGGAAUGUGUGCUGUACAGUUUAUGGUUCGGACAAAUGUAUAAUGACAAGUAUCCACCACUGUAGUAUCGAAACAGAGUAGUUUCACUGCCCUAGGAAUCCUCCUUGCUCUACUCUUCAAACCUCCUCACCUCCAACUCCUGGAAACCACCAAUCUUUUUCCUAUCUCCAUAGUUUUGCCUUUUCCAGAAUGCUGUAUGACCGGAAUCAAACAAUAUGUAGCCUUUUCAGAUUGGCUUCUUUCACUUAGCAAUAUGUAUUUAGAUUUCCCCUUGUUCUUCUCCUAGCUUGAUAGCUCAUUUCUUUUUAGCCUUAAACAACAUUCCACUGUCUGGAUGUGCCAGUUCGUUUAUCUGUUCAUCUACUAAUGAACCUCUCGGUUACUUCCAAAUUUUGUCCAAAUUAUGAAUAAAGCUGCUAAAAACUCUGUGUGUAGGUGUUUGUUUUUGUUUUUUUCAGGAUGCUAUAUUUUUAAAUGUAAUUUAUUGUCAAGUUGGCUAACUUACAGACUAUACAGUGUGUUCUUGGUUUUGGGGGUAGAUUCCUGUAAUUCACUGCUUACAUACAACACCCAGUGCUCAUCCCAACAAGUGCCCUCCUCAAUGCCCAGCACCCAUUUUCCCCUCUUUCCCCCAGUCAACCCUCAGUUUGUGCUCUGUAUUCAAGAGUGCCUCGUGGUUUGCCCCCGUUUCUGUUUGUGACUAUUUUUCCCCCUUCCCUCCCCCCACGGUCUUCUGUUAAGUUUCUCAAGUUCCACAUAUGAGUGAAAACAUGGUAUCUGUCUUUCUCUGACUGACCUCUCUCGCUCGGCAAAAUACCCUCCAGUUCCACCCACAUUACUGCAAAUGGCAGGGUUUCAUUCUUUCUCAUCGCCAAGUAGUAUUCCAUUGUGUAUAUAAACCACAUCUUCUUUAUCCAUUCAUCAGUUAGUGGACAUUUAGGCUCUUUCCAUGACUUGGCUGUUGUUGAAAGUGCUGCUAUAAACAUUGGAGUACAUGUGCCCUUGUGUCCUUUGGAUAAAUUCCUAGUAGUGCUAUUGCUGGGUCAUAGGGUCGUUCUAUCUUUGAUUUUUUGAGGAGCCUCCACACUGUCAUGUAGGUUUUUAUAUGGAACUAAGUUUUCAGCUCCUUUGGGUAAGGACCAAAGAACAGGACGGCUGGAUCAUACAGAAAGAGUGUGCUUCAUUUUGCAAGACACUGUCAACUGUCUUUGAAAGUGGCUGUACUGCUCUGCGUCCCCACUAGUAAUGACUCAGAGUUCCUGUUGCUCUACAUCCUCGCUAGUGUUUGGGACCAUCAGCGUUCUUCCGUCAGAAAUUCGAAUAGGUACGUAGAGCUAUCUCGUUGCACGAACAAUUUUCAAGGCUUCGCUUACAUUAAGGCUACGGAUGUUCUACUGGCCAAAGUAAAUCGUACAGGUGAGCCCAAGGUGGGAGGGGACUACAAAAUUGAAGAGAAAGGGCCUGGAUAAAAGGAGGCCAUUAAUUGGAACCAUUAAGGCAUCAAAUCUACCAUAAGGAAUCUGUGCAUAUUUCUCACAGGGGAGUAUUAAAGGGCAGUAAGAUGUUGGACUAAAACCUAGAAGCAACUAGAAAAGUCACAUUUGAAAUUAGGUAAAACAAUUAGAUGAGCGCUUUCUAAUUUUUAAAUGUUUCCAAGCUUUCUGCCAAGUCGCUCUUGCUCUGAUAUUGAUGUUGUUUUAUUUCCAUUAGAGGGUGACGUUCCCCAAUUUCUGUUGAUAUCUACGGAGAGACAGAAUUGGGAAGAAAUGCACGUCUCAUGUAGGACCAAUCACUAUGCGGUCCCUUGUUCCAUGAAUUAAUUCACAGUAAUGAUAAUGUUAAGACUCUUGGCAGAGUUCCUUAGAAUCCUGUUUA